UACGAGUGCUCCAAGCGUUAUCCGGAAUUAUUGGGCGUAAAGCGCUCGCAGGCGGUUUCUUAAGUCUGAUGUGAAAGCCCACGGCUCAACCGUGGAGGGUCAUUGGAAACUGGGAGACUUGAGUGCAGAAGAGGAGAGUGGAAUUCCACGUGUAGCGGUGAAAUGCGUAGAGAUGUGGAGGAACACCAGUGGCGAAGGCGACUCUCUGGUCUGUAACUAACGCUGAGGAGCGAAAGCGUGGGGAGCAAACAGG
rnacentral:rRNA from 1 species